AUGGGACAACAUCCCUAAUGCGCCUUGAAAUGAGGAACUCAAAAGUCAUGUGUAAAGAAAAAAUCUCUGUGUAGUGAUAUUGGACAUGUUUCUAUUUUUAACAAAUGACUGAACUUAAUUAUUUGUGGUGAUUAGGAAAGUAGAGGAACAUAGAAUAAAUGUGUAAAAACUAUGGAGCUAUUGAAUGUGUUCAAAGUAUUAAAUUUUCAAAGAACUUAUUGUGUUAAAAAGUGGAUAUUUUACCACAAGGAGCCGCAUCACAAAAGGAUGUUCGGGGUUUGCUAAUUUACGGAAAAAGCAAUCUCACUUCGUACCCCGAAAAUUUAACCACAUAUGUGAAAAUGUCACAGCUUCGAAACGAGCUAUCAUACAUAUCCAAGUUUACGAUAUGGACUGAUCUACAGGAAAAAACGUUACCAUUAUCGCCUAUGGGAAAACAAUUAAAGAUAUUGAGCCAAUUUACAAAAAGAUAAAUCAGAAGUUUCCAGAGUGAUCUAUGGAUGAUUUCACCUUGUACACCCGGGAAAAUUGUGAAAAUGAUGUUCCAGACAUAUCAUUACUUUUUAACCUGAGAUGACAAACUAGAGGUGUUAAAAGGUCCUGAAUAACUGAAAUGGACAAAAAUACACAGAUUUAUUCAGAAUGUCAUACCUAUGAAGAUCACAUAAAAAUAUUUGGAAAAAUCAGAACUAUGGAUUGCAAUAUGGGACAACAUCCCUAAUGCGCCUUGAAAUGAGGAACUCAAAAGUCAUGUGUAAAGAAAAAAUCUCUGUGUAGUGAUAUUGGACAUGUUUCUAUUUUUAACAAAUGACUGAACUUAAUUAUUUGUGGUGAUUAGGAAAGUAGAGGAACAUAGAAUAAAUGUGUAAAAACUAUGGAGCUAUUGAAUGUGUUCAAAGUAUUAAAUUUUCAAAGAACUUAUUGUGUUAAAAAGUGGAUAUUUUACCACAAGGAGCCGCAUCACAAAAGGAUGUUCGGGGUUUGCUAAUUUACGGAAAAAGCAAUCUCACUUCGUACCCCGAAAAUUUAACCACAUAUGUGAAAAUGUCACAGCUUCGAAACGAGCUAUCAUACAUAUCCAAGUUUACGAUAUGGACUGAUCUACAGGAAAAAACGUUACCAUUAUCGCCUAUGGGAAAACAAUUAAAGAUAUUGAGCCAAUUUACAAAAAGAUAAAUCAGAAGUUUCCAGAGUGAUCUAUGGAUGAUUUCACCUUGUACACCCGGGAAAAUUGUGAAAAUGAUGGUAAGUAUUUUUUUAUUUAUACCUAGAUAUCCCAGAUGAUUUCAGAUAACCAUUAUAGAUAAAUACCAGCAGAUACUCAAUGAAAUUUUCGCUUUUAGAAAGCAUUGCAGGCACGGGGCUGAACACUUUUUUUAGGCACAAUUCAAACUUUGUUUACACCCCUGAGAGAUCCGAAAGGAAUUUGUUUAUGAAUUGAAAAAGGCAUGAACUAACAUAAUAGUUUUAUCUGUAAGUAAACAUGACACAAUACAGUCUUUGUUAUGUAAUUAUCACUCCGGUUUACAGGAAUAACUGAUAAUCAAGGGAGAUAACACACUCCAUACGAGUAAAGUGAAAUACAUCAUCAUCAUGUGCUUUUAUCCAAUAAUUUGACCCAUGUUCCAGACAUAUCAUUACUUUUUAACCUGAGAUGACAAACUAGAGGUGUUAAAAGGUCCUGAAUAACUGAAAUGGACAAAAAUACACAGAUUUAUUCAGAAUGUCAUACCUAUGAAGAUCACAUAAAAAUAUUUGGAAAAAUCAGAACUAUGGAUUGCAAUAUGGGACAACAUCCCUAAUGCGCCUUGAAAUGAGGAACUCAAAAGUCAUGUGUAAAGAAAAAAUCUCUGUGUAGUGAUAUUGGACAUGUUUCUAUUUUUAACAAAUGACUGAACUUAAUUAUUUGUGGUGAUUAGGAAAGUAGAGGAACAUAGAAUAAAUGUGUAAAAACUAUGGAGCUAUUGAAUGUGUUCAAAGUAUUAAAUUUUCAAAGAACUUAUUGUGUUAAAAAGUGGAUAUUUUACCACAAGGAGCCGCAUCACAAAAGGAUGUUCGGGGUUUGCUAAUUUACGGAAAAAGCAAUCUCACUUCGUACCCCGAAAAUUUAACCACAUAUGUGAAAAUGUCACAGCUUCGAAACGAGCUAUCAUACAUAUCCAAGUUUACGAUAUGGACUGAUCUACAGGAAAAAACGUUACCAUUAUCGCCUAUGGGAAAACAAUUAAAGAUAUUGAGCCAU